UCCCCUCUGUGGCUGUUUCUAGGCAGCUCUGCAGCCUCUUGACACUCCCUAAAACACACUCCCUUCUCUUAACGGUGUAGACAGUAACUGCUGUGGCACUGUUUUCCUGCCCCCUUUCAUAACUACAAUCUUUCUCCUUUUUCGGGGAAGAAAGGACCGGAGGGGCUAGCAGCGACUAAAAAAAAAAAAUUUUUUUUGGAUACUGUCUUCACUAAAUGAACUAACUGGCUGAGAGGCAGUCAAGGAGAGAAGCAGGAUGGAGAGAUGAGAUGUGUUUACUGAUUUGUAUAGCAAUUCCAGGAUGUUCUCUAAGAGUCAUGUAUGGCAAUUAUUCGAGGGCAUUUAGGCAAAUAGAAAAAUUCCUAUCUCAUGAGUGAAGGCAUAAUUUUAUCACUUUACCCAAACUCAACAUAAACUGAGACUUGGGAGUCAUAUUCUUGAUCAAGAUGGAGCAUUGCUUCCUUCCAUAUGCAAGCAGAGACUCAAAGAUAUGGUGGAAAUAUCAGAGCUAUCAAAACAAAGUGCUACCGCUGCAGCUUGGCCAACCUCAGCCUCAAAGAUUAGACACUGGCCUUGAACUUCAAUACCUGGAGGCUUCUUCCACUCGAGAAGGCAGCUCGAAUAAAAAACCCAAAGCUCCCAACUCAAGUGCAACAUCAAGAGUCAACAAAUGAAACAUCCUAUGAAGCUGAUGAUUUAAUUCAAGAAAAAUAAUGGAUAAAACACAAAUGAACAUUGGGUAUUAUUAAAAAUCCUGUGUUCUAAAAGCUCACUGUAGAGAUGGAGCUACCGAGUACAUUUCAAAUCCAAAAAAAAAAAAAAGGAAGUGGGAGAAUCUCCCAGGAAACACAGAAGAGACUUGCCCUUGUUAAGUGAGAAGAUGCAGGUUUAUAUUAGGGUCACACCAGGAAGUGGGUAAGCACAGGAAGCAUCUCAGCAGCCUCAUGGUGGAAUGUGAUUCACACUACUUAAGUAAAAAGAGGUGACAGUGUGAGAGACGAGACAGAAACCUCCUGCCAAAACCACAUAUAUUAUGAAAAUAUAGCAAAUACAGCUAAUCCUGAAAGAGCAAAAGGAAAGAAUGCUGCAACAGACUGCCUACAUCUGGGGAAAAGAGCAGACCUCACAGAAAAGGCAGUAAACAAUAAAAUUUUCAUGUAAGACCUAUAAUUUAGGGGAAGAAAAUAAGGUGAUAUCAACUAGAAGUCUGUAUAAGAGUUUAUUUCUUAUCCAUCUGCUUUUAAAUAAUAAUUACAGUAAUAAAUACUGUAUGUAUAUAUUCUGACAAAUAUACUCUGUGUAGUGCAAGGUGUCCCAUCUCUGCUGAUUGAAUGAGAAUUCAAAAAAUAGUAUGUUAUACUUCUUCUGACUCAGUUUCCUAAAUCUUUGAGGUUUGGGCUUUUGCUAUUCAUACUGCAUCUAUCAAAAAUAAAUAUUUCAACCUGGAAAAAAAGAUCCUGCCUUCAAUUCUUUUGGAAAUACACCAAAAAACAAAUCACUGGGU